rnacentral:rRNA from 1 species
UGGCGAACGGGUGAGUAACACGUGGGUAACCUACCUAUAAGACUGGGAUAACUUCGGGAAACCGGAGCUAAUACCGGAUAACAUUUGGAACCGCAUGGUUCUAAAGUGAAAGAUGGUUUUGCUAUCACUUAUAGAUGGACCCGCGCCGUAUUAGCUAGUUGGUAAGGUAACGGCUUACCAAGGCAACGAUGCAUAGCCGACCUGAGAGGGUGAUCGGCCACACUGGAACUGAGACACGGUCCAG